ACCCGACCCCCGCCCUCCCUGCCUGUUGCGUCGCCAUCGGGGGUCGCGCCUGAGCCUCCGCUUCUCUCGCUUGUGUUUCCUUGCCAACCUGCCCCCUGGCAACCUUGGGCUACGAGUUCUAGACCCAGCUCUGCUUCCGCUCUUCUUGAGAGGUGGGGUGGCGACCCGUAGCAGGUGGAAGGAAGACGGUGCAUUUAUGGACUGAUCCUCGUCCUUGCGGUGGUUUCAGGCACGUCAACUGUGCAGCUGCUCUGUGAUAUUUUAGGUUGUUUCGUACCCCUAGUUGGGCCCUUCCCUGGCCAGCCCAGUGGCUCCCUCAGAGCAGGGACUACCUCCUGUAGACCUAGGUUCCUGCCUGGCACUGAGUACAGCGUCUUGCGCAAAGAAGGGGCUCCAGGGAUGUCUGCCAAAUGAAUGAAACCUUGAGAGCCCAGGCUUUCUGAGACACUUCUACUCAAGGGCUUCCCAGACACAGAGCUUAAUCUCUGAGCAAAUACAAAUGCGGAAAAGGUCCAUUUUAACUUUCUGAAGAAAAGGAGCAUCUCUCCAAGCUUACAUUGAAUUGGCACCAUGUUACGAGAUGAUCCAAUGAGAUGUUUCCAUGAAGAGCAUGUUCUCACCUGGCCCGGGAGAAGUUCAAAACAUGGAACUAAAAUGGAAACUGUGAGAAUAAUAAGCAAGCUAUGACUUGUAUAUAUCAUGAGCAACAACUGAAACACAAUGAGGACAAAGCAGAUAGUAGAACAAAGCUGUGAGGGCUACUUGGAAGCUGGUGAGAGCCCAGGAGUGUCAAGAUGUUAUCAGUGAACAGCCUGGUUUUAAAACCCGGAAUGUCCCCUGAGUCCAACAACGGCAGGGCUAUGCAGUGAGAGACCUUUCUAUUCCUGGGCCAAAACUCUUCCUCUAAAGAGCUAGACUUGACAUUACCUACUCUCAUAGGACCACCUGGAUACAGUCCAGGUGAAGAAGAGCCACCAGUACUAUGGCUGAGCAGAAAAAUAUCCCAGAGAGAGGUUGUCAUAGGAACUGUACCAGAGGAGCAGCUACGCAC